AGUCUGGUGCCAGCACCCGCGGUAAUACCAGCUCCAAUAGCGUAUACUAAUGUUGCUGCAGUUAAAAAGCUCGUAGUUGGAUUUCUGGCUUUGGCGCACCCGGCCCAGCCUUUGGUUUGGGUGCCGGCGUGCGCCGGCCACUGUUCCAGGCGAUCUGCUCUGCCAUUGAUUUGGUCGGGGUAGGGAGCCUGGUCUUUCACUGUGAAUAAAUUAGAGUGUUCAAAGCAGGCCGCAGUCCGUGAAUAGCCCAGCAUGGAAUGAUAAGAUAGGGCUUCGGGUGUGGGGGCGUUUCGGCGCUCUUGCACUUCCUUGUUUUGUUGGUUUUAAGGGCCGGAGUAAUGAUUGAUAGGGAGCGUUGGGGGUGCUAGUAUUCAAUGGCCAGAGGUGAAAUUCUUGGAUUCAUUGAAGACUAACAUCAGCGAAAGCAUUCACCAAGGAGCUUCUCUUUAAUCAAGAACGAAAGUUGGGGGAUCGAAGACGAUCAGAUACCGUCGUAGUCUCAACCAUAAACUAUGCCGACUGGGGAUCCGCCGAUGCUAGCCUAGCUCUCGGUGGGCACCCUAUGAGAAAUCAAAGUCUUUGGGCUCCGGGGGGAGUAUGGUCGCAAGGCUGAAACUUAAAGGAAUUGACGGAAGGGCACCACCAGGCGUGGAGCUUGCGGCUCAAUUUGACUCAACACGGGAAAACUUACCAGGUCCAGACUGAGGAAGGAUUGACAGAUUGAAGCUCUUUCUUGAUUCUCAGGGUGGUGGUGCAUGGCCGUUCUUAGUUGGUGGAGUGAUCUGUCUGGUUGAUUCCGUUAACGAACGAGACCUCAGCCUACUAAUUAGUCGGUCGGAGUCUGAUCUCCGUCCUAUCCGACUUCUUAGAGGGACUAUCUUGCGCGUAGCAGAUGGAAGUUUGAGGCAAUAACAGGUCUGUGAUGCCCUUCGAUGUUCUGGGCCGCACGCGUGCUACACUGAUGCGUUCAACGAGUGUCAAGCGGCCUUUGGUCGCUAAACCCUUGGUCGAUAGAUCCCGGGUAAUCUUCUGAAAACGCAUCGUGAUUGGGAUAGAUGAUUGCAAUUGUUCAUCUUCAACGAGGAAUGCCUAGUAAUCGCGAGUCAUCAACUCGCAAUGAUUACGUCCCUGCCCUUUGUACACACCGCCCGUCGCUUCUACCGAUUGAGUGUUCCGGUGAACUCUUAGGACCGCGCGCCCUCGUGGCGUCGCGGGAAUUUGCGUAAAUCAUAACACUUAGAGGAAGAAGAAGUCGUAACAAGGUA
rnacentral:rRNA from 1 species